rnacentral:rRNA from 1 species
GACGAACCGUGCGAACGUUGUUCGGAAUAACUGGGCAUAAAGGGCGCGUAGGCGGGCCUGAAAGUCAGGGUGAAAUCCCACGGCUCAACCGUGGAAGCGCCUUUGAUACUGCGGGCCUGGAGGGAGGCAGGGGAGUGCGGAACUUCCGGUGGAGCGGUGAAAUGCGUAGAUAUCGGAAGGAACACCGGUGGCGAAAGCGGCGACUCUGGACCUCUACUGACGCUGACGGCGCGAAAGGCCAGGGAGAGCAAAGG